AGUUAACGCUGGCGGCGUGCCUAACACAUGCAAGUCGAGCGAAGAGUACCAGUGUAUCGGGCUCUUAGCGGCAGACGGGUGAGUAACACGUAAACUAUCUGCCCUCGAAUGGGAGACAACCUGGCGAAAGUCGGGCUAAUACCCCAUACAAUCUUCUCGGAGCAUUCCGAGGGGAUGAAAGGCCCGCAAGGGUCGUUCGAGGAGGAGUUUGCGGCCUAUCAGCUAGUUGGUGGUGUAACGGACCACCAAGGCUAUGACGGGUAGCCGAUCUAAAAGGAUGACCGGCCACAAGGGCACUGAGACACGGGCCCUACUCCUACGGGAGGCUG
rnacentral:rRNA from 1 species